CUGGCCCUAAACGAUGUCCACUAGAUUGUGGCACUUUUAACGGUGUCAUGGUCGUAGCAAAAGCAUUAAGUGGACCGCCUGGGAAGUACGGUCGCAAGGCUAAAACUCAAAGAAAUUGACGGGGGCUCACACAAGCGGUGGAGCAUGUGGUUCAAUUCGAAGCAACGCGCAGAACCUUACCUGGGCUUGACAUGCUAGGAUUAUCUCUAUGAAAGUAGAGUAGGCCCCGCAAGGGGAACAACUAGCACAGGUGC
rnacentral:rRNA from 1 species